ensembl:snRNA U4 U4 spliceosomal RNA
AGCUUUGCGCAGUGGCAGUAUCGUAGCCAAUGAGGUUUAUCUGAGGUGCAAUUAUUGCUAAUUGAAAACUUUUCCCAAUACCCCGCCAUGACGACUUUAAAUAUAGUCGGCAUUGGCAAUUUUUGACAGUCUCUACAGAGA